rnacentral:rRNA from 1 species
UGGGGAAUAUUGCACAAUGGGCGCAAGCCUGAUGCAGCCAUGCCGCGUGUAUGAAGAAGGCCUUCGGGUUGUAAAGUACUUUCAGCGAGGAGGAAGGCGUUGUGGUUAAUAACCGCAACGAUUGACGUUACUCGCAGAAGAAGCACCGGCUAACUCCGUGCCAGCAGCCGCGGUAAUAAGGAGGGUGCAAGCGCUAAUCGGAAUUACUGGGCGUAAAGCGCACGCAGGCGGUCUGUCAAGUCGGAUGUGAAAUCCCCGGGCUCAACCUGGGAACUGCAUCCGAAACUGGCAGGCUAGAGUCUUGUAGAGGGGGGUAGAAUUCCAGGUGUAGCGGUGAAAUGCGUAGAGAUCUGGAGGAAUACCGGUGGCGAAGGCGGCCCCCUGGACAAAGACUGACGCUCAGGUGCGAAAGCGUGGGGAGCAAACA